GACGAACGCUGGCGGCGUGCUUAACACAUGCAAGUCGAGCGGAAAGGCCCUUCGGGGUACUCGAGCGGCGAACGGGUGAGUAACAGGUGAGUAACCUGCCCCAGACUUUGGGAUAACCCUCGGAAACGGGGGCUAAUACCGGAUACGACACAGCUUCGCAUGGGGUCUGUGUGGAAAGUUUUUCGGUUUGGGAUGGGCUCGCGGCCUAUCAGCUUGUUGGUGGGGUGAUGGCCUACCAAGGCGACGACGGGUAGCCGGCCUGAGAGGGCGACCGGCCACACUGGGACUGAGACACGGCCCAGACUCCUACGGGAGGCAGCAGUGGGGAAUAUUGCACAAUGGGCGGAAGCCUGAUGCAGCGACGCCGCGUGAGGGAUGACGGCCUUCGGGUUGUAAACCUCUUUCAGCAGGGACGAAGCGUAAGUGACGGUACCUGCAGAAGAAGCGCCGGCCAACUACGUG
rnacentral:rRNA from 1 species